UGUGUUGUUUUACAUUUACUUGUAAAAGUAAUGUUUGAUAUGGGAGAAGUUUUAAGUAAUAGGUUCGCUAAUACGGGAAAUUAUUAAAUCAAUGCAUGCUGGCUUAAAUAAAGUCAAUUGAAUAUGUACGGAAAAUGACAUUGAUACUAACGUGCAGUUAUAAGUUUCAUUUCAUUUUUAUAUCAAUUGAUAGGAUAAACACAAACAAUUCUAACCAUACUAUUUUGCGCUACUACUGAAUAUGGCAUAAUAUCAAAUUAAUCUGUUUAGCAGUUA